rnacentral:lncRNA from 1 species
AAGCCUCUGACCAAAGCCAUACGAUUCUAGAUGCAAUAACAAAAAAUACUCCAGCACAUCAUUAUUGCAUAUAUCUUUAGAGUCUCACCACAUAGAUCUACAAGGUCAGAUGGAGCACACUUUUCAAAGAAUUGACAUAAGGUGUUAAACAAGAAACAAAUGGAACAAAUAAGCAGUGACUUGAUAAGAAAGAAAUUACACGGCAAACCAUGCAGAUUCACAUUCGGUUGAAUAGAAGGUUCAAUCUGCCUGCAGAUUAGGUGCAAGAAUCCCAUUAAGAAUAGGAAAAACUUAAUGAUCAUAUAAAAAAUUGGAAAGAAAACAAGCAGAGUUCUCCAAACCAAAGACGUAGAUUAUCCAAACAAAGACCAUAAGAGAUUGAAACAAACACUUCAUAUACACACAUAGACAGAGAAGAACAAGAAGAUCCGUAUCGUAAGUAACAAACCUAGGUCAAAACAGAACAACAAAACAAAUGAAAAUUUCAAGAGUUUUUUGAGAGGAUAAAAUUCAUGUCACCGAAUUAUGCAGUUGUCUUCAAUAACUGCAUUAGGCGAAAUAGUUAGCUGGCACCAACUGCAAAACGAACAGCUACAUGAUUGAAUCUGAAGCCAUCACAAGCGAUAAAAGAAUCAAGAAAGAAAAACUCAUCAAUAAAAUUUAGUUACUGGUCCUGAACCCCUUAGCCACUCUAAUUCACAAAUAAAAAAUUACAAAGCCUCCCCUGUUGUUCCAUGUCAAAAUCCACUGUUGUUCCAGUUUUACCAACUUGUUGAUGGAUUUCAGCCACAAGACAAGGGCAUUUGAACUCUAUUUUAAAUCUACAAACGGUAGAAUCAAAGUUCAUGAAAAAAACAAAAAGGUAUUCCAAGGAUAUUCCACAAAUAUUCUCAAUGUUCACAACUAGAAUAAAAAUUUGAACCUGAUAUAGUAAAGAAAAUCUCUUCAUAAUAAAGAUACUUGUGUCACUGCAAGCCUUUUACGACGAUAAAGGGAGGAAAAGAUUAUAGAUAAGAAGAAAAACUGAACAUAACAUAGAAGAAUUCUCCAAACCAAAUACACAAAUGACCGCAACAAAAUGACAAGGGCCUAAAGCGUCUGAAGUACAAAAACGCCUCAUAAGAAAAACUCCUGUGUUGUAAAAAUCGUGUGUCCUACAUAAUACAUAGACACAAAGGAACAAGCAUAGCAACAUACAUCCAUAUCCAGAACAUGCAUGAAAGAAUAAAACUCAUAUAAGUGUAACAAAAUAUAUGUCGAUGUCCAUCAAUUACCCCCAGCCACUGUUUCCAUGGUCUCCAGCAUGCAAUCAUUUUAUCUGUAAAUGAAAUAUGGAUUAUAUUGUGGGAGACAAUUAGAUGGCUAAAUGAGACAAGACAUAAAAAAUUAAAAAAUUAAACCAUCAUUACUGAGCCAACUUAGCCAAGAAAUCUUCAGAAUUUUGGGAAAAUUGCUUAAUAUCCAAUCUUCAACCCCCAAUCUCUAACAAACUGUGAGGAAAUACCAUCCAAUUAUAGGAAGAAAAAAGUAAGAUAUCACAGUUUUAGCAAACAUUAUAAGAACCAACACAGCCCAAAGCAAGUUCUCAUUCCUCCCUAGAGAUCACAGAGUAGAUAAAAAAAACCAACCAAACCUGACCAAACUUGACCAGCCAUACAAUUCUAGAUGCAAUAACAAUAAAAACUCCAGCACAUCAUUAUUGCAUAUAUCUUUACGGUCUCACCACAUAGACCUACAAGGUCAAAUGGAGAACACUUUUCAAAGAAUUGACAUAAGGUGUUAAACAAGAACAACUCAUGCAACAAAUAAGCAGUGACUUGAUAAGAAAGAAAUUACACGCCAAACCAUGCACAUGCAAGUUCACAUUUUGUUGAAUAGGAGGUGCAAACUGCCUGCAGAUUAGGUGCAACACUCCUAUCUACUGAAUUCUCCAAACUAAAUUCACAAAUCACAACAAUAUGUUACAAGGGCCUAAUGCGUCUGAAGUACAACAACUCCUCGAAAGUCCCGCGUUAAAAAUCAUAUGCUUCCUACCUAAUAAAUAGACGCAGAGGAACAAGCAUAGCCACAGACAUCCAAAUCCAGAACACGCAUAAAGGAAAAAAGUUCAUAUAACUGUAACAAAACCUAAGCAGAUGUCCAUCAAUAACCCCAGCCACUGUUUCCACAGCCCAGCAUGUAAUCAUUUUCCCUGUAAGGACAACGGAAAAUCAUGGAAAGCAAACAGAAUCUGCAUGAACUUACAAAUGAAAGACAAAUCCAACAGAGUUCAGAAACGAGGUACACAGAUCACAAAGAUUUGGAAUAUGGAUUGGAAGAUAAUUAGAACGCUAACUGAGAAAUGAAGGCCUUCACAAUUCAAUUCGGAGUCAUAAAAAAUAGAGGCAGAAUUGAAAAUUUAAACCAUUAUUGCUCCAGUAAAAAACUCGCCUUCCUUUAGAUUUGCAAUUCUAAUCCAUAGGGAGGGUGGAGCCACAUGAGGCAUGAUGAGAGACCCCAAUCUCUCACAAACUGUGAGGAACAUAGGAUCCAAUUAGACGAUAAAAAUGUAAAGAUCCAAUUAGACGAUAAAAAUGUAAAGAUCCAAUUAGACGAUAAAAAUGUAAAGAUCCAAUUAGACGAUAAAAAUGUAAAGAUCCAAUUAGACGAUAAAAAUGUAAAGAUCCAAUUAGACGAUAAAAAUGUAAAGAUCCAAUUAGACGAUAAAAAUGUAAAGAUCCAAUUAGACGAUAAAAAUGUAAAGAUCCAAUUAGACGAUAAAAAUGUAAAGAUCCAAUUAACAAACAUUAUAAGAACCAACAGCCUAAACCAAGUUCUCAUUCUUCCCUUGAGAUUGCAGAGUAGAUAAAAAAACCCAACCAAGCCUCUGACCAAAGCCAUACGAUUCUAGAUGCAAUAACAAAAAAUACUCCAGCACAUCAUUAUUGCAUAUAUCUUUAGAGUCUCACCACAUAGAUCUACAAGGUCAGAUGGAGCACACUUUUCAAAGAAUUGACAUAAGGUGUUAAACAAGAAACAAAUGGAACAAAUAAGCAGUGACUUGAUAAGAAAGAAAUUACACGGCAAACCAUGCAGAUUCACAUUCGGUUGAAUAGAAGGUUCAAUCUGCCUGCAGAUUAGGUGCAAGAAUCCCAUUAAGAAUAGGAAAAACUUAAUGAUCAUAUAAAAAAUUGGAAAGAAAACAAGCAGAGUUCUCCAAACCAAAGACGUAGAUUAUCCAAACAAAGACCAUAAGAGAUUGAAACAAACACUUCAUAUACACACAUAGACAGAGAAGAACAAGAAGAUCCGUAUCGUAAGUAACAAACCUAGGUCAAAACAGAACAACAAAACAAAUGAAAAUUUCAAGAGUUUUUUGAGAGGAUAAAAUUCAUGUCACCGAAUUAUGCAGUUGUCUUCAAUAACUGCAUUAGGCGAAAUAGUUAGCUGGCACCAACUGCAAAACGAACAGCUACAUGAUUGAAUCUGAAGCCAUCACAAGCGAUAAAAGAAUCAAGAAAGAAAAACUCAUCAAUAAAAUUUAGUUACUGGUCCUGAACCCCUUAGCC